rnacentral:misc_RNA from 1 species
AAGUCGUAACAAGGUUUCCGUAGGUGAACCUGCGGAAGGAUCAUUAAAAGAUUUUGUUUUUUGGGGUUUUAAUCUCAAAAAAUAAUUCACCUUUUGUGCAUUGUUAUUAGAUAUACUUUGGUUAGAGCUUUGAUUUCAUUUAUUGGAAUCAACUUCUUGCUGACUCUAUCCUUUUUAAAGGACAGUUGGCUAUGAAGCGGCCUACCAAGGUUUUUUUUAUCAAACUCUUGUAUUUUGUCUGACCUAAAUAUCAAUAAUUAAAUCAUAACUUUCAACAACGGAUCUCUUGGCUCUC